UUUAAAAUGUCAAAAUAACUCUCUCGAUGCCAAAUAACUGUUGUUUUAAUAGAUUUUCGACUAAAAUUCUUUAUAAAAUGCAUCGAGAUAGAGUUUUUCGCGAAGCUUUUGGUAUAAAAAUGAUACAAGUAAUACAAAAGACUGCGGCAAAUUAUUCAUUACAACAAUUUCGUGGUUUAAUCCCAUAGCAUCGAAACGUCAAGUUGUUUUUAAACUUGUUUUGCGCGUAUUUUUGCUAUAAAUAGUGUUAGAAAUUGUAAUAUUGUGAUGCUUUAAAGAUAAAGCAAUAAGUCUGUGCAUUUUAGUGUGUGGUUAUAUGUGAAAUAAGCAAAGUGAUAUGAUGUGUUAAGGUUAGUUUUUGUUCCCGCUUUUACCUUAUUUUGAGGUCCUGUGCCUGAAUCCUGUCUUCGGUUUGUUCCGGCGCAGUUUAUACCUGGUCGAACGGGAGCCGGCCUACUUAUUCUGAACGGAUUCACGUUUUACAUGAAGAAUCAUCAGGCACAUGGAAAGAAACAGUGGUACUGCUCAUCGAGGGACGUUCAUGGGUGUAGAGCUGACGUUAUCACGUACAAAGGCGUAGACGGUCGCGAUUAUAUUUCGAUAUUUCGCGGUCGACAUAUACACGAUCCACCCCGUCUCAGACAAUGUCACGACGGAAGAUUUAUUAGGGAAAAAGAUGUCUUCAGACAAUCGCUUAAAUGACUUCAAUGUUAAUUGUUUUUUUUUUUGUAUACAAUAUUUUUUGUUAUAUUAAAGAUCAUGUGAUGUAAUUAAAUGUACUUAUUAGGUAUAUUAACGUGUUUUUGGAAGCAUGUUUCUGGUAGGGACCUGCUAGUUUAUAGAUGGAAAUAAAUUUUGACGAUAUUUUAGAAUACACUAUUCUGGUACAUGUAAAGCUUUUAUUUUACUGUUUUUGACCUAUUAAAGUUGAUUUUUAGAAGUUAUUUGAUACUUUAUUAUGUUACGUUUAUUGAUUUUUAAUCUAAGCAAUAACUUUGUAUGUACCUAUAUUUGUGCUCAUAAUAAGGUUGAGGUUAUUUUUCAGGGAUAUACUACCUACCUUCGCAUCGUUCAGGAAGCAUGGUACUUAUAUUUAAGGACAACAAAUACUGGAUAAACAAUCGUUAUCAGAACACAAUCAACUGGACCUGCAGAGAUCGUAAACGCCUGGGAUGCAACAGCUGCGUUCAAACUACCGUCGAGGGGCGAUACAUCAAACAUAAAGGUUUUCACAAUCACGAGGACAACUACACGAAGUAUAAUUUCAAUGACUGAUAUCUACCUAAUAGUCUAGGUUUGCCUGUUAUCACAUCUGUAGAAAGUUAUAGCGCGCCAAAAGAUUAAUAAGGUGCUCCAGACGAAGACCAAGUGUCAAUAUUCCAUUAGUAACUUCAGCUUUAGCUCGUUAUAAGCUACUAAUUGUAACUUCAACAACUUAAAUAGUAAGCUACUGAAUUUUCUAUCAUUAUUUGCGGAAUGCUUUCUAGUGUUUAUUAAUUAACGUUAAUGUGGAUAGAGUUACAAUUAUUUAUCGUAAAUUAUCAUUCCUUCGAUUCGUUCCAGAAUAUCAUUAGUCUGAUUUCCCCCCUUAUAGUUGUAUAAUGUUUGAUUAAUAUAAUAUGUGAAGUAGGUUUGUUGUAAACUUUUCACUCAGAGACGAAUCACAUGACGUGGCGCCUUAUAUGACACGGUCUUCAUUCGUCACUUGGAAGGCACAACUAUGUCAAAUUAUAAGCUAUUCUACCUGCCUGAGAAAACAGAUUAAAUGUUACAUAAGAGUCCAUUAUGUCCACUCAACAAUAAGUCUUCAUCAUAGUUAUUAUCUGAAUAUGGUCUGAUUUUGUUAAAUUUUCAAUAAACUUUUAAUGACUUAGAUGAUAUCCAUAAGAUUCGUUUUUUCUUAUGACGAUGGGAUAAUUAAUAUUCGAUAUUACUCAUGUAACCUUUUAAUGAUGCCAAAUUGUAAUUCGAAGAUCAAGAAAGACGUUAUAAAGAGUACCAGUAAUUAUAGUCAUGAAAUACUGACCAAAUAUUGGACUGAUUGAGUUACUUAAGAUUAAAUUUAAGCCGUUUCUUGCUUAUUAGUCGUAGUUAUCUUGUAUUUAUUCGCGAUAAUCACACGUUUUAAAUGUAUGUGUUCUAUUCUAGUUUCUAAAAGGUCUUAUAUAGCAUUUGUGGUAUCUAUCCAUCCGAUAUGUUCGUAUAAAUUUAAGCCUCGUGUUCUUCGAAAAUAUGAAUUACAGAAUUAAAUAUCUUUUGACACCAUGAUGCGAAAAACUAGUGUAUAGAUUCGAUCAUAGUAAAGUUAUCAUGAAUAUUUAUCUUAAUUGUCUAAUUACAAUUAUAAUAAUUUACUUUAGGGAUGAUUAUGUAACAAUUGUAAUAGUAAUUGCUAGUAAAUUAUAUUACACUUGAUACCACAAAGUGGUUGUUUCAAAUAAGUAUUUAUUAAGAUUAAUUUGACGUUUAAUGAGCACUGAUAUAUGAAUAUUAACAUAUAUAUUGGUGUCGAUGCUGAACCAUUAAAUUAAACUAAUUUGACGGGAAAUAUUGCUAUCUCUUUCUAUCGUGUAAUGUUAAAAAGUGUAGCAAGUCUUUUGUCUCGUCAAACUAGUUUAUUGGGUUGAACAAAUUCAGCACUUUAGUAAACUAAACUUUGUAACCGAAAAUGCAUUUUUAGCUUAAUUUUAACUUAAAAGUUUAAGUACACUAGAAAAAAAUGUUUUAUGAAAAUUGUGUUUUUUUUUUCGUGUUAAUAUUAUUUGCUCAAUGAAGUAAGUUAUAUUCCAAAUUAUUUUGGACUUCUGGUCAAACGAGAUCAACUUAUAGAACUCACAUUGCAGAAGUAUCGACUAACAUUCCAUGUUUUGUACGCCAAUUAGGAGCCAUAUUUGAAGUUCAGUACUUUUUUAUUUUAAAGUUAAUAUUUUUAUUUAUUAACGACUUUACUUAUAAGCGUUGUUCAGUUAAACUCAGAUACAUCUUUCAUUCAUCAGUAUAAGACACAGUUUGUCUAAUCAACCUUUAUAGGUAAAGUCGUAAGUGUUGUAAUGUUUGUUUAUGACCUAGUCAUUAUGGCUAUAUAAAAUUCCUUCUCGUGCCAAAUCGUAUUUAAGAUAAUUUUAUACUUAAUGUAAUUGUAUAUCAAAAUUAUAGACGAUAAAAUGUACAUUUUUAUA